rnacentral:miRNA from 1 species
AUCAUUAGAGAACUUGUUAAAAUGCAGAUUCUGAUCCAAUAGCUCUGAAGUAGGUCUACAUUUCUAACAAGUUCCCAGGUGAUGAUAAUGCUGC